GUAACACAUGCAAGUCGAGCGAGAAUCUUAUGAAUGAUCCUUCGGGUGAAUGAUUAAGAGGAGAGCGGCGGACGGGUGAGUAACGCGUGAGUAAUCUGCCUUAAGGAGGGGGAUAACACAGAGAAAUCUGUGCUAAUACCGCAUAACAUAUCUUUACCGCAUGAUAGAGAUAUCAAAACUGAGGUGCCUUAAGAUGAGCUCGCGUCCGAUUAACUAGUUGGUGGGGUAAUGGCCCACAAAGGUUACGAUCGGUAGCCGGACUGAGAGGUUGAACGGCCACAUUGGAACUGAGAUACGGUCCAGACUCCUACGGGAGGCAGCAGUGGGGGAUAUUGCGCAAUGGGGGAAACCCUGACGCAGCAACGCCGCGUGAAGGAAGAAGGUCUUCGGAUUGUAAACUUUUGUCUUUUGGGAAGAUAAUGACGGUACCAAAGGAGGAAGCCACGGCUAACUACGUGCCAGCAGCCGCGGUAACAC
rnacentral:rRNA from 1 species